rnacentral:rRNA from 1 species
UACGUAGGGUGCGAGCGUUGUCCGGAAUUACUGGGCGUAAAGAGCUCGUAGGUGGUUUGUCGCGUUGUUCGUGAAAACUCACAGCUUAACUGUGGGCGUGCGGGCGAUACGGGCAGACUGGAGUACUGCAGGGGAGAAUGGAAUUCCUGGUGUAGCGGUGGAAUGCGCAGAUAUCAGGAGGAACACCGAUGGCGAAGGCAGUUCUCUGGGCCGUAACUGACGCUGAGGAGCGAAAGCGUGGGGAGCGAACAGG